rnacentral:rRNA from 1 species
AUCUACCUUAUACAGGGGAAUAGCCCAGGGAAACUUGGAUUAAUGCCCCAUAGUAUUAAAGAGCGGCAUUGUUCUUUAAUUAAAGAUUUAUCGGUAUAAGAUGAGCAUGCGUACCAUUAGCUAGUUGGUGUGGUAACGGCACACCAAGGCUACGAUGGUUAGGGGCCCUGAGAGGGGGAUCCCCCACACUGGUACUGAGACACGGACCAGACUCCUACGGGAGGCAGCAGUGAGGAAUAUUGGACAAUGGGCGAGAGCCUGAUCCAGCCAUGCCGCGUGCAGGAAGACGGCCCUAUGGGUUGUAAACUGCUUUUUUACGGGAAGAAACACCUCUACGUGUAGAGGCUUGACGGUACCGUACGAAUAAGGACCGGCUAACUCCGUGCCAGCAGCCGCGGUAAUACGGAGGGUCCGAGCGUUAUCCGGAAUCAUUGGGUUUAAAGGGUCCGUAGGCGGGCAACUAAGUCAGUGGUGAAAUUCUGCAGCUCAACUGUAGAACUGCCAUUGAUACUGGUUGUCUUGAAUCGUUGUGAAGUGGCUAGAAUAUGUAGUGUAGCGGUGAAAUGCUUACAUAUUACAUACAAUACCGAUUGCGAAUGCAGGUCACUAACAACGUAUUGACUCUGAUGGACGAAAGCGUGGGGAGCGAACAGGAUUAGAUACCCUGGUAGCCCACGCCGUAAACGAUGGAUACUAGCUGUCCGGUGCACAUUGGUGUGCUGGGUGGCCAAGCGAAGUGUAAGUAUCCCAUCUGGGGAGUACGUUCCCAAGAAUGAAACUCAAAGGAAAUGAC